ACCUGAGCUCAGGCGUGACUACCCGCUGAACUUAAGCAUAUCACUUAGCGGAGGAAAAGAAACUAA
rnacentral:rRNA from 1 species